AACAGAAGAGAGUUAAUUCUAUUACUUAAGUGAUCUGGGAAUUUAGGGAUAGGCCAGGGAUUUGAAAAAAUAAAAUGAUACAUCUGUAUUAAUUCUGUUUUCUCUCAUUAAAAUACUGAGGAGAAAUAUGAUAAGAAAGUUAUUUCUACAUUUGAGGUAUUCUCACCUCCUCCUCCAAGUAAGAUCACACACACACACACACACACACCCCUCAAAUCUUCAGUUAAGGCAAGCUUUGCCAGAGUAUCUCAGCACCUCCUUAGCUUUUCAUAUUUACUCUUGAUUCAUUAAAGAUACAUUUUCUGUUUCUAGUCUGUUUAGGCUCGGUGUUUCUGUUGGGAAAGUAAAUAGUAAAAGACCACAUGGCUGCCAAGGGUAAACACUGCUGAAGGCCACAGCUGCAGCUUAAGAGAGAAAGCCUGGACUGGUCGACAAGGCAAGGCAGCAAGUCGGAGAGAGGUUAGAGAUAGGAAAAUGGAAUGUUUCAUCCUUGGUGGAAAUCACUAGGAAUUUAUCUUCAUACAGAAGAUUUCUUGGUUCUUUGUUUUGAGAGCUUCCUGAAGCCAUCAUGAUCUGCCUCUCUACAUGAGUUGAUAUUGACUGUUGUCUCCGAGCCAUCAGUCUUUGUUGUAAGAGGGACCACAGGAAGCAUCUGACUUCUUCGUCAUCUUGGCCCUGCAGUCCCAAUAAUUUUUUUCUUAGCUAUUUAAUUUUAAGGUUUUUACCACAUUUUUAGGACUAUCUUAACCCGUCUUGGAUAUUUCUAUUGUUUUCUCUCUCUCUCUCUCUUUGGCAAUGCUUUUAAAGAGAACUUUACAUUAUAUUGACUAGAAACAUGGACUUCAAUUUCAUCUAUUAUUGGUAUUUCUCUUUACACAGAACAUGGUAAAUUUUUAAUUAAUUUUUAUUGUGCUUUAAGUGAAAGUUUACAAAUCAGGUCUGUCUCUCAUACAAAAAUUUACAUACGCCUUGCUAUACACUCCUAACUGCUCUCCCUCUGAUGAGAUAGCACAGUACUUCCCUCCACUCUCUCUCCUCAUGUCCAUUCGGGUAGCUUCUGGCCCCCUCUGCCAUCUCAUCUCCUCUUCAGAUGGGAGAUUCCAACAUAGUCUCAUGUGACCACUUGAUCCAAGAAGCUCAUUCUUCACCAGUAUCAUUUUCCAUCCCCUAUUCCAGUCCAAUCCCUGUCUGAAGAGUUGACUUUGGGAAUGGUUGCUGCCCUGGGCUAACAGAAGGUCUGGGGUCCAUGGCUUCCGGGGUCCCUCCAGUCCCAGUCUGACCAUUAAGUCUGGUCUUUUAACGAGAAUUUGGGGUCUGCAUCCCACUGCUGUCCUGCUCUCUCUGGGUUUCUCUGUUGAGUUCCCUGUCAGGGCAGUCAUCAGUUGUGGCCGGGUACCAUCUAGCUCUUCUGGUCUCAGGCUGAUGUAGUCUCUGGUUUAUGUGGUCGUUUCUGUCUCUUAGGCUCAUAAUUAUUUUCUGUCUUUGGUGUUCUUCCUUAGAACAUGGUAAAUUUUUGGUGCCUAUGAUUGGCUGCUAACUGAAAGGUUGGUGGUUCUAACACACCAGCCAUUCAGCAGGAAAAAGGUGCGGCAGUCUGGUUCCAUAAAGACUACAGCCUUGGAAACCAUAUGGGGUGGUUUUACUCUGUCCUGUAGGGUCACUGUGGUCCAAUAUCUAUUUGACAGCAAUGGCUUUGUUUGGUUUUAUAAACAUUUUUCUUUUAGGGCAAGGGACUCGAUUUAUGGUGUAGAAUCCCAUUAACUUAAAAUGAGUCAAAGUAUCUAGUAGAUGCUUAUUACCAAAAAAAAACCAAACCUAGUGCUGUCGAGUUGAUUCUGACUCAUAUUGACCCUAUAGGAUAGAGUAGAACUGCUCCAUAGAGUUUCCAAGGAGCGCCUGGCAGAUUUGAACUGCUGACCCUUUGGUUAGCAGCCGUAGCGCUUAACCACUAUGCCACCAGGGUUUCCAGAUGCUUAUUACAUAGUACCUAUUCACUGGAAGAAUUUCUUUAUGUUUUAUGUGCCCAGUCACAAUGUGGUUGAUCAUUAAAAUGAUCUACCAGACAUCAGCUUUCCAGAACCCAUUUUUUUUCUUCCCUUCCUUUUCUUCCAUGUAAGCAAAGCAGCAUGUUCUUGGCCAAUUAUUAAUUAGCAAUAUGCAAAUGUUGCUUCUUUUUUCUCCCAAGUGAAUUCCUAUCUCAACUAAGGAUGGGCCACUAUUUUUCUAUCAAGUGCCACAAAAUUUUAUUUUUUAUUUAAAAAUGGAGCAAUACACGAAGAAGAAUAACAGUCAUCCACAUUUUCACUUCCCGGCAUUAAGUACUUGUCAUCUCAGUAUAUUUUUAGGCUUUUAAAAAUAACACUGUUAUUUUUGUAAAAAUUGUAUGUGCUCAGUAUAAAGAAUUAAAAAAUACAGAAAAAUGUAAAUGAAGAUGAAAAAAUUCACCACAUAUUCUACAAAAAAAAAAAGAUUGUUAACAUUAAGCGAACAUAAUUUGAGAAUCUAUCUGUGUAUGCACACAUAUCAACAGAUCUACUAAAAAUACUUUUAUUAAGAUGAAGUUUUAUAGAAGACACUUUGAUGGAAAAAGUAUUUUACUUGAAUUUAAUAGAAGAAAAAGAAACUGAAGGAAUUGUUAAACUUCAUAUAAAUGGGCUUUUAAACAAGAUAUAUUAUUUCCUAAAAGUUUCCUCUCAGAUUAAAAAAAGAAAAUUUAAAAAGCACUAAUUAGAAUAAUUGGUUUUUAAGCCAUGUGUUUCUGUCUUAGCAUUCUCAAACUUCCUCCUGCCAUCUUCCAAAUUUUGUUAGUAUUUUUAUAUUGCCUAGAAAUAUAACUUUUAUUUUUUCCUGUAGCUUUAAUUUUCUUAGUUUAUUCAGUUAGCUCAACAUUUCGCUCACUGUUUAAAUAGAUUUAAUACCUGAGUCUUUUUUAACCAGGUUUUUUCCUUUGCUCUUUAUUUUGAUUCAUAUUUUUAAAAUUUUUCGCCCAAGAAGGGUUUGUGAACGUUAUAUUCUCUGAGUUCCAUCACACUUGAGAAAGUCUACCUUAUGCCCUUUUAGUCAAAUGGCAUCUUGGCUGAGUAUGAUGUUCUUGGAUCACACUUUCUUUUCUUCAGAACAUUUUGAACAUUACUACAUUGUCUUUGGCAUUUACUGUUGUUAUGAAGACGUCGGAUUUUUUUUCCCCCAGUGUACCUGAUUUACUUUUCUGGUUGAUUGCUUGAAGGGUUAUUUCUUUAUACUUGCAUUUUAAUAAUGUAACUAAGCUCUGCUUAGUGUAAAGUGUUCUGCAUUAAACUUUCUCUCAAGAAUAGAAGACCCUUAUAGAAAUACCAUAGAGACCCAGCAAUCCCACUCUUAGGAAUAUAUCGUAGGGAAAUAAGAGCUGUCACACAAAUAGAGAUAUGCACAUCCAUGUUCAUUGCAGUAUUGUUCACAAGAGCAAAAAGAUGGAAGCAACCUAGAUGCCCAUCAACAGAUGAAUGGAUAAAUAAACUAUGGUACGUACACACAAAGGAGUACUACGCAACGAUAAAGAACAAUGAUGAAUCUGCAAAGCAUUUCACAACAUGGAUAAAUCUGGAGGGCAUUAUGCUGAGUGAAAUAAGUUAAUCACAAAAGGACAAAUAUUGUAUGAGACUACUACUAUAAAAAGUCACGAAAAGGUUUACACAAAAAGAAACAAUCUUUGAUGGUUACGAGGGAGGGGAGGGGUGUGAAUGGAAAAACACUAAAUAGACAAUAGAUAAGUGGUAACUUUGGUGAAGGGCAAGAUAUUACACAAUACUGGGAAAGCCAGCACAGCGUGUACCAGGCGAGAUCCUGAAAGCUCCAUAGACUCACCCAAACUCCCUGAGGGACCAAUUUACCGGGCUGAGGGCUGUGGGAACCAUGGUCUGGGGAACAUCUAACUCAAUUGGCAUAACACAGUUUAUAGGGAAUAUGGUCUACAUUCUAGUUUGGUGAGUAGCAUCUGAAGUCUUAAAACCCUGUGAGUGGCCAUCUAAGAUACUCCACUGGUCUUACCCCUUCAGGAGCAAAGGAGAAUGAAGAAAACUAAAGACACAAGGGAAAGAUUAGUCCAAAGGACUAAUGGACCACAACUACCACAGCAUCCACCAGACUGAGUCCAGUACAACUAGAUGAUACCUGGCUACUACCACUGACUGCUCUGACAGAGAUCACAAAAGAAGGUCCCAGACAGAGCUGGAGAAAAAUGUAGAACAAAAAUCUAACUCACAAAGAAAGAUCAGACUUACUGGUCUGACAGAGACUGGAGAAAUCCUGAGAGUAUGGCUUCCAGAUACCCUUUUAGCUCAGUGAUUAAGUCACACCUGAGGUUCACCCUUUAACAAAGAUUAGAUAGGCCCAUAAAACAAAACGAGACUAAAGGGGCACACUAGGCCAGGGGCGAGGACUAAGGCAGGAGGGGACAAGAAAGCUGGUAAUAGGGAACCCAAGGUCGAGAAGGGAGAGUGCUGACACGUCAUGGUGUUGUUAACCAAUGUCAUAAAAUAAUAUGUGUACUAACUGUUUAAUGAAGAGCUAGUUCUGUAAAUCUUCAUCUAAAGUACAAUUAAAAAAAAAAAAAGUUAAGAAGAGAAGACCCUUUCAAGCUGCAGAUCCAGAUUUUCCCCUCGUUAGUUCCAGGAAAUUUCCCUCACAUUACGUGUUUGUCUUCAUUUUCUGUUUUUUGUUGUUGUUGUUGUUGUUUGUUGUUGCUGGGUCCUGCUUCAGGGACACCAAUUAUCCUUACAUCGGGUCAUAUUUAUUUGUCUUCUAUAUAUCUUAGUUCAUCUCUAAAUGCUGUGAUCUCUCUUUUUUAACUUGUUUUUAUACUGAUUAGCUCAAAUCUUUCUUCUAUGUCUGCAAUUUGAUAUCUAGCAAUAACUGCUCUGUUACUUACUGUUUCUAAAUUAUUUAUUGAUUUUUAAUGAUAUUGUUUGGCACCUCAAUUGUCUCCUUAGGUCUGUAAUCACUUUUUCCAUCUUGUUAGGUCAUUGUUAUCAACAGGCCAUUGGGUCUUUGUUUGGAUAAAACCAAUUACUUAUUAAGUUAUUCUAUAGUGUGAAGCAAUUUUCCUUUUAAUUCUUGAUGCUCUUUUAUUAUUUAGUUCUUUCUUUUUCCUUUGCUUUCUUCCUUCCUUAUCAUAUUUAUGAAGUUGGCAUGCCAUGCCAUUUCUUUUUCUUUCAUUCAUGCUUGGGUGGCUGCAAUGAGACAUUUUAUUUGCUCUGAGGCACUGAAGUUACUUCUUGAUUUUUUCCACAUUAUCUAUGACCUUUUUUUUUUUUUCUUUCCAAGCUAUAGUUUGAUGGCUGAGUAUUUUUGGGUUCUACCUACUCUUCUAAAAUCCAAGAGAAGGACAGCAGAAGAAGAGAGUCCAGAUGGGGUCUAUGGAGUCUUCGUUAGAUAAUGUGGGCCCUACUUAUUGUUCUAGAAUUUUAUUGAUGGUUCUGCGUCAAAGUCUACUUGAGGGGUAGGCUCCUUUCCUGUGAGUAUAGCCUGGACCCUUGGGCAGUAUAUCCUUGGAGUUGUCAUUUCCAAGGAGUCAGUCCUUAUUUCACUUCCUUUUCCUCAACAGCCCCUCGACUCCAAUUCCUCAGUUUGAAAAGGGACUCAGGUGGCUUCUUUACAAGUUUGAUUUUAUCAAUUCAUCAGUACAACUUUUAGGGGCUUAAAUCCAACCCAUUGCCGUCAAGUCAAUUCUGAUUCAUAGUAACCCUAUAGGACAGAGUAGAAUUGCCCCAUGGAGUUUCUAAGGCUGUAAAUAUUUAUGGAAGCAGACUGCCACAUCUUUCUCCCACUCAGGGUGAUUAGGCAGAGGUAAAAGUAAAGCUGUGCUACCUAUCUGCUCCAUUUCAGAAUCUUCUGUAUCUUUCCUUAUUUGCCAGUUUUGGGAGCUUAUUGCACUAAUCUAACCCCCUUUUCUUGUUUUGUGGCUGUUAUAAUUUCCCCCUACCUUUUAUUAUCUUUUUUUUUUUCCUUUUUGCUCGUUUUGUUAAAUGCUGUAAAGGGAAAUAUGGUGACUUGCUUUUAAUCUGCAAUCUUAAAGCUAAGACAGGAUAUAGCAGAAGUUAUAUUUGAGAAAUUUAACAGAUGAUUUAGAUGUAAAUUUCAUAUUAUAACCAGUUAAAAGAGAGGAAGUCGAGAAGAGAUGUAUGAUGAGCGUUUUAGAAACUAUAGCAGAGAAAACCUGAGAGAAUAAAAGUACAAUAGAAAACAGCAAGGAAGAAAAUAACAGGGAAAUUCAGUUGGUUCUGAGGAUACCAGUGAUAAACUACUUUGGUGGGUGAUAUUGUCUUUUGGACUGAGGGGAUUGGUACUGGGACUGUAUCAUCACUGUGCUUUGAAAUUCUUGUAAACUUUUCAACCCUUAAAAAAGAGUCCUUCCUAUUCUGGGAAAUAGCUUGGCUGUUUCUAUUCUCAAACUUUAAAGUUUAUGUUUGAAAUAAAGUCUUAUUUUCCUAUGUAACUCUGGAAUGUUAACAGAUGUUGGAAGCAAUGACUUAAGUUUUAGAGUUUAUUUUGUAAUCUGAGAUUUGUUGGCCAAUGUGCCAACUAUCCUGAAAGUUCCUGUCAUUCUGUGUCAUGACUGUUAGAAUAGAGGGUACUAAGAAAGCAGAAGACACAGCUGAAUGUUGGGAUGAAGGACAUGGUUAGGGUGGUAGCAGCAUCAGAGCCUGGGAGAAAAGAGAAGGUCUCAGACACUGGGUGCAAAUAAGGAGUGGGGGAGAUGCAAACAUCUGCCAAGGGAUGUUGUAGAAACUGCAUAAAGCAGGAAGUCAAAUGUUUGGGUAAAAGUCAACCAGGAAAGCCAAAGCAAGCGGGACCAAAAUAGGCAGAAAAUUGGUGCCCACUAGCAAGGAGCAGAACACCAGGUGGCUUGUUUACUGCCAUUUUUACUCUAUCUUGACCAUGGAAAAAUUCAAUUCUAUGAUGGAAAACUUGCAAUGAUGAGCUGAUAAUUUUUGCUGAAGUGGAGCAAGAAAUAAAGAGAGAGAGAGGGAAUAUCU